rnacentral:lncRNA from 1 species
CGCCAAUAAGAGGUUUGCUUUGCGGCACUUGAAGGAGGAGGGCUUUCUGGAGGGUGGCACGGGUCUCAAGUACCCUGAAGUCGGCUAAUUCGGCUCGCUUGGAAUAACAGACAUUUAACACCUUCCAUUGUUCUGGGCCUGGGCCCCACAGCCCUGCUGGGACUGGGGGGCCGCGGGUUGGGUUCCUCCGGUUCACAGGGGAGGCCGCCCUCCUCAGCACCAGGUCUGAGACCCAGUCUCCCCCUAGCAAGCCUACCAAACCCGAGGGAUCUCCACACCCCACACCUGCCUCCUUGGAGGAGGAAGCGGGGCAUGGGAUCUCGUAGUGUCAACAGCCCCUUAAGCGAUAAUCCUAGACGUACUUGCCCCUCAUGCCUUUUCUUAUAUUUGCCGUUUCAGUUCCUGACGAGUGGGCGAUCUGAAAACCACCACAUUUCUUCCUAUUGUAAAAAGAUGCAAAUUUUAGCGAGAAGGAUGCUCACUGCGGUGUCAUCACGAUAG